GAGGUUACUAUAUAUAAAACUGAAACCAUUGUAUUAUCUUGUAUUACUCAGGAUUUUGAUUUUGGAUUCUUUUGUAUUGUUGCUGCAGCUGUGCCUAUGGUUGAAGCAAUGGUGGCUUUAGUUCUUGUGGAUCAGUUGAUGGCGCAAUAUGCACAGUGCCAUUUGUUUCCAAUAAAUCCAGAGCUGCAGGAACCUCUUCGGACAGCUUCUCCUGUCGAGUUCGAGCAGCCGCAAAAUGCUGCUGCUUUGUAAGCAAAACUUGAGAAGAUAAAGUGAGAGAGGCUUCGCUUUUUUUUGUGUGAUUAUUUUGAAUAAAGGCAUUAAUUUUUUUGUAAGAUGAUGAUUGUUUACUCUGUAUCCUGCUUUUCAUUCAGUUAUAUCAAUCGAGACUCUUUUUUGUAAGAGCCAUUUCCGAUCAAAUAUAUGUUAUGUGGUUGGUUUGGUAUAUUGUUAUCAGACAAAUUUCGGAGAAACACACUAAAUGGAAGUUAAGAAGAUACUUAAAGGAGAAUGUAAACUAUUCCGUUGUGUCGUUAAGCAAAUUAUUUAUGCUCGACAAGAUCUGGAUGAGCAUAUACGACUUCAUCAUAUGCUUUCUUGCUGAAUAAUUGAGUUGUUUCUUCGAAUAGCAAAGAGCAAUGUUGUACAACUUCAUAAUGAUAGAAAACUGAGUCCAUUGCAUUUUGAACAUCAAUUUGAGAGGAUGUAUGGCCGAGAAGAUUCUUCUUACCGAUGGAGCAAUUUCUUCUAAAUACACGUGAAAUUAUUAUGGUUAAUACGUAAAAUAAAUUACAUCAAAUUAUAAUGGUAAAUACAAUUAAUGUGGUAAUGUGAAAAGGGAAUGUAAAAAAUAUAAUAAAACAUUCAAAUGAACAUAAUAAAUAAAGUGGUUAGAAUAAAUAAAAAAAAAUUAAAAUCUGUAGAACCCCACUUAAAAAUAGACAACUAUUAUUUUGUAUUUCAAUUUUAAUAGAAUAGACUAGAUUUUGAUCCGCACGUCCGUGCGGAUAUUUUUUCAUUUUAUAAAUGCAUUUGAUAUCAUUACAAAUGUUUUAAAUAUAUAAUUUCUAUUUUAAUGUUUUAUAUUGUUUGACUCUAUAAUAUUAUUGUUUAUAUUUUUUAUUCGGCAUUAUUAAUAUAUAGUUUGUUUAAUACAUUUUACAUUGUUAUUAUUUUUAUAAAAAAAUCUGAAAUAAUCAAAUAGAAAACCUCGUCCAAAAUAUGUUUUUUUUUAAUUUAUACAAUUUUCAUAUAAUAAAUUUUUAAAAUUUAUUUAUUUCUAUAGAAAAAAUAUAUAUUUAAUAUAAUUUCUAUUUACAUGUUGUGUUUUAAAAAAAAAAUACUUUAACAUAUAUCAUUUUAGUAUUUUACAAGAUUUUUAAGUAAAAACAUUGUUUUGUUUAAAUAAUAUAGCUCUAAUUAUUUUAGUAAUUUGAUACAUAGUAGCAUCUAUUUUUCACCAAUGGACCUUUUUCUAAUUUUAAAGAUUCUAAAGUUUUCAAAGCCAUUUUUUUGUUUCUCUCUCUCCAUUUCCAAAGAAAUGUCUACAGCCUUUUUUUAGGUGGCCUUACAAACAAAACUAGAAUUUUCUUUUAUUUUUAUUGUAAAAAAUAUUUUUUUCUCUUCCCCUAUUUUUUUCUCUUCCCCACAAUAAGUAAAAUACUUAUUCUACUUUAUCUAAAAUUAUUUAUAAAAUUUAUUUGAUAAAUUAAUCAUUGUUAUUUUUUAUUAUUAUUUUGAGAUCCAUAUUGUAUAAUUUUUGGUUUCAUAUAUAUAUUUUCUUUAUUAUUGGAAAUUUUUUAUAUUUAUAAUAAAAUAUUUAAAAUAUUAUGUACUUAUUUAUGAUUUUGAUUAUUAAUUAUACAUUUUUCAAUAUUUAAAAUAAUACUCACAGUUUUAACAGCCAAAAUCUUUAUAGCCAACAGCCUAAAGCAACUCUCUAAAGCGAAAGUUUGUACCAAUCAGACCCUAAGUUUUUUUUUAAUUAAUAUUUCAAAAUAAUAGAUUACUUUAAUUUUUACAACAUAUAUAGUUUGUUUUCUCAUUGUGCAUUUCAAAAAAUUAUUUUUUUAUUAUCUAUGAUUUUAUCUUUUGUAACGUUUGAAAUUUAAUCAUCUUGAGUUUGAAUAUUUAUUUUCAAAACUGCAUAUUGACAAGAAAACUUUGAAAAUUACACACCUAUUUUUGAGUUUAGAAUAUUACAUGAAUUUUAAAUUUUCUUUUUGUUACUACAUUAAUACAUUAUUUUAUAAAAAAAUAUUUGAACUUUUGGUAAUGUUUUCUAAAUUAUCUCAACAAAUUUUGUUAUAAUUAAAAUAAAAAUUAAAUUUAUAAUAAAAAUUUGGUUUGUCAUUAUCUUAAUUUAAAUGAAUUAUUAAAAUUUCAUAGUUUUUAAAUAACAUAUUUUUAAAUAGUAUAUGGACUAAAGGUUAUUAUAUACCAUUAUAUUUUUGAAUAUAAAUAUAUUUUUAAACAAUAUAUGGUUGGGAGUUUCAAAAUAAAUAAAAAGAUAACAUAUAGUUGUAGAUAUAAAAGUUUAACAUAUGUUAAUAAAUUUAUUUUUGUCAUAUUUAUUCACAAAUCACUUCUAUUUUUAUAUAGUACAGAAUAUAAUUAUAAAUUUAUAAAAAAUAGUAUAAAUUUUUUAUUUUCUUGUUUUAAAAUAAUUUUAAUUAAAAUUGAUAUAUAACAAUAUUUUAUUACUAAUUGCAAAAUUAAUUAAUGUGUUAUUUUAUAAAAGUAUUUAAAUUUUUAGUAAGAUUUUGUUAAAUUCUUUCUCUAACAAGUUUUGUUAUAAUUAAAAAUAAUAAUUCAAAUUUAUAGUUAGCUUAUUAUUAAUGUAAAUAAUCAAAUAUGUCAUAUUAACUAAUUCUUUAAGUGGUCCUAUUAUGAAUUGUCAGUAGUAGAUAAAAAAAUAGGAACAUAAAUUAAUUGAUUAGAUAUAUACAUAGUAUGGUGGUGAUCCUUUUAUUUACACUUAAUUCUUAGACUAUGUACAAUGAUCAAAUUUUUCAACACCCUGCUUUUCUCUUUUCAACACUCUACAUUAUCUUCUCUCUCUUCCACCUAAUUAUUUAACAUCCACUUUGUUUUUUACCUCUACUAUAGUUUUGUUUAAUAAAAUUCAACACCAUACUCCCACUAUUUUUAAUUCAUUUUAGUUUAAUAACUACAUAUUAAUAAUAAUUCUGCUUGUAAUUAACUUAAGAAAAUUAAAUGACAUAAAUUUUAGUAAUUUUUAAUUUAUGUUCGUAAAUAAUUAUUUUUUAAAAAUAAUGCUAAAAUAAAUAUUAUUAAAACAAAUUACAUUAUGAAACUUUAAAUACACACAAUACAAACACAUAAAACAACAAAUAAAAACAUAUAACUUAAUGAUACAAUAGACUCAAUUUAAAAAAAAACUCUUAAAUCACACACAUAAAUUUAAAUUUAAAGUCUUUUUUUUUUUUUUCAAACAUUUCGAAUUUUGCUCAUAUGUGUUUGACUAGAUCUACUUGCAAUUCAUGAUGUACAUUUGAAUCACGUAAUUCAGAUUUAGCACAUACAUGAUUUGCAAAUGCGGAUAACACCUCAAUCGAAAAUGGAUGUGGUGUACUAGAACCACUUGCCUCAGAUUGAUCAUAAUCGGUCCAAUGUUGAGCAUAUGUAUCUCGUUGAUCCUCAACAAUCAUAUUAUGCAAUAUGAUACAUGAUCUCAUGGUGAUAGCCAAAUCAGAUAAGUCCCACAUGUGAGCUAGUUUAUGAAUGCUUUUGAAUUGAGCAUGUAACACUCCAAAUGCACGUUCGGUGUUCUUCCGACAUCCUUCUUGGUAUUUUGCAAUUAAUUUGUCUGGUUCACUUUGAGCAAGCCGGAUUGAUCUAACGAAAGUUUGAUAGGAAGGAUAGAUACCAUCAACAAGAGAGUAUGCCAUCUCAUACAUACGUUGGUUGACGAAAAAAUUCACUCUUGGAGUAUUUCCUUGUUCAACAUCAUCAAACACCGGCGAACAAUCUAGAACGUUUAUAUCGUUUAAUGUUCCUGCACAUCCAAAAAAUGCAUGCCAAAUCCAUAGAUCAUGAGAUGCAAUAGCUUCAAGUAUAACAAUAGUGGUUCCCUUAUCUCCCCUUGUAAACUGACAUUCCAACGCCGUUGGACAAUUUUUCCAUUCCCAAUGCAUGCAGUCAAUACUUCUGAUCAUUCCUAGGAACCCUCACAUUUUACUUACAUGCAAAAUUCUUUGCAAGUCAUCUUGAGCUGGAGCUCUGAGAUAGACUUGCUCAUACAAUUGUAUCCUUUACAGAAUCGACGCUAACACUCCAAUGCUGUUGUACUUCCAAUUUUGAUAUAUUCGUCGAUCGCAUCGGCAUCAAUACUAUACGAUAACAUUUUCAUAGUAGUAGUGGAUUUUGCUAGUGGAGAUAUACCUUCUUAAUUUGAUGUGUCAACUCGUUGAGCGAAGUUGUUGUCACUGCUUGAUAGGUCCUCAAAGAUCUGAAAAAAAAUAUGUUUUCGCAUCCGGAAUUGCCGAGGAAAUAUUGCUUCAUCAUAUGUAGGUUGAUUGGCGAAAUAGUCAUCGAUCAGCUUUUGAUUCGAUGCUACAUGAUCUCUCUUAAAAUAUUUUCUUUUGAUACGAGAUGCAUGUUCUUCCUCUAUAUUUUUUCUGCACUCUCUAGACCGGUUUACAAUAUACCUCUCUUCGAUCUCAUAUUGCUUUUUGUAGGCUUCGAUAUCAAAAGGAAAUUCCGAUGGAUCCAUUGAUUUUUUUAGUAAGAUGAGAUUUGUGUUUUUGGUUAUGUGAAAAAUGAUUCCAUUUAUAAAGAGACGUUACCCUUUGAUUUGCAUAAAGAGACGUUGCCCCGUGAUUUACACCAAUGGUCACGGAUUGCAUCGAGACAUUUAUUAAAAUAGAAAAAAACAAAAUACAUGAUUAAAGCGGAAAAAACAAAACACAUUAAUAAAGCAUAAAAAUCAUAAAGAGACAUUACCCCUUGAUUUGCACCAACGGUCACGGAUUGCAUCGACACCCUUAUUAAAGUAGAAGAAACAAAUACAUGAUUAAAGCGAAAAAACAAACAUAUAUUAUUAAAGCAUAAAAAAAUCAAACAGACAUUGAAGUCACUUGCAUCACUCUUGUGGACUCUCUUAGACCCACUAUUUUUCAAACCACUGUUUCUUCCUACUUGACUACCAUAGCGUGGUUGAUCACGGACAGCGAACCAUUCUGACAGUAAAUUGAAACGACUAUUUUUACCACUUGAGUAUAGUUCAUGCACUUUAGCUAAAACAUCAUUCUCUGACCACCCGCUCUGCUGCAUACGUUUAGAAUUAUCAUAAGCACCAAUCCAUUUGCCCAAUAUUUUUUUCAAGUUGUUGUAAUGAUUCCUGCACAAAGCUCCAUCACGAGGAGGAUCGAAAGAGCAAUGUUCGUUAUAGUACUCAGCAGUUUGUCUCCAAUAUGACUCAUUUUUUUGGUUUAUGCCAACAAGGCUGUCCGUUCCAUAUUUAAUCCACCCACCUAGUAGCACCAAAUUUUGUGAAAUAGUCCAUUUGAGGCUUUUCCGGCGAGUAGGAGUUGCAUCCUCUGCAUUGGGAGUGACUUCAUUGACACCGCUUAUGCCUCCAGGAAUAUUUUGUGUAGAAAAUACAGGAAAUUCAAUUGUUCCAACAUUUGGAAUAUUUUCAUUACCCAUGGAAGUAGAAGAAUAAGGAGGUGAUGAAAAUGAAUAUGGCAUAUCACUAAUCCACAGUAUAGACGAUAGUUUAGAACAAAAGCCAGAGGAAAAUUUCGUGAAAAACCAAAAUUUGGUACAUUUUGGGGUUGGUUGAAAGCUUGAUUUUGAAAUCGGUAAUUGUUGGGAUUUUGAUAAUUGGGAAGAUAAUUUGUGAAGUUUUGAGUAUUAAAAAAGUUAUUGUUUUGAUCCAUUUUUGACGCAAAAGAGAAUAAUAGCAAUAUUAUUGUCAAAAACUGAUUUCUUUUCUAUGUCCAAAUCUAAUGAACCAAGACUCUAUUUAUAGAGUAUGAAAAGUUAUGAAUUCUUUUUAUAAAAAAUAUUAUUUAAUAUAAAAUAGUUGAUCUCGAAAAUUUGGAUGAGAUAAAAAUCUAUAAAAUCUGAACAACUAAUAGUGUGGUGACACUUGCACCAAUUAGAUUUAUUGUUUAAGCAAAAAAAUACAAUGUCGACAACUUUUCUCAUUUUGUGUGGCGGAGAAUAAGCUAAAGCUACUCUUGCAGAUCCCACAUUGCUUCUUUCAACUGGUUGAAUGAAUUCAACAAAAUUAAAUCCACGUCACUUUCCUCAAUCAUUCAACAGCCUCAAUGUGGCUAUUCAACUGUUGAAAUAAUUUUUCAGAAAGCUCAUUGCAUGUAGUCUUACUUAUAUAUAUGCCUCCAAACUGAUGAUGAAAAAUUGAAAUGGAUCAUCAGUCAACACAUUGAUUGACGUUCUCCUUCCAUAUUGUACAGAGGAAGCAGAAUACUGUAACCAGAGAUAAGAAAGAAACUGAGAUGAUUGCGCGUGGACGUCACGAUCCUUGCGUUGUUCCACGAGGUUACUAUAUAUAAAACUGAAACCAUUGUAUUAUCUUGUAUUACUCAGGAUUUUGAUUUUGGAUUCUUUUGUAUUGUUGCUGCAGCUGUGCCUAUGGUUGAAGCAAUGGUGGCUUUAGUUCUUGUGGAUCAGUUGAUGGCGCAAUAUGCACAGUGCCAUUUGUUUCCAAUAAAUCCAGAGCUGCAGGAACCUCUUCGGACAGCUUCUCCUGUCGAGUUCGAGCAGCCGCAAAAUGCUGCUGCUUUGUAAGCAAAACUUGAGAAGAUAAAGUGAGAGAGGCUUCGCUUUUUUUUGUGUGAUUAUUUUGAAUAAAGGCAUUAAUUUUUUUGUAAG
rnacentral:lncRNA from 1 species